UUGGAAACAGUUCCUUUCAGUCCUUAUUUUAUUUGCGGAAGUGUAUUAAACACACUUUAUGCCGGGCCCUGCGCUAAGCAUUUAAUAUCCAUUAGCUAAUUUAAUCCUAAACAGGAAGACUCUCAAACAGUUACCAUUUUUAUUCCUACUUUGCAGGCGAAGAGACAGCGGCACAGAGCAGUCAAGUAAUUUCCCAGCAUCGCACAGUGAGGACGCAGACGCACGCCCUGCACUUCCUGACUGUCCCCGCUGCCACCGCUGGAGUGACAGGAUCUGUCAGAUGCAGUGAUGUUUCUCAUCAGCUUCCUCAUCUGUAAAGCUGGACUGGCAAUUUCGUGAGCUGUCUGGAGUCUGAGAUACCCACUCGCCGAAGCCCAGCACAGGAAAGGAGACAGGGCAGCUGCAGAGGAUUCUUCUUACACUUGUCCCUGGCCCUUCUACUCCUGGCUCAGAAUCUUGGGCCCACUGGCCCAG
rnacentral:lncRNA from 1 species